rnacentral:rRNA from 1 species
GAUGAACGCUGGCGGCGUGCUUAACACAUGCAAGUCGAACGGAAAGGCCCUGCUUUUGUGGGGUGCUCGAGUGGCGAACGGGUGAGUAACACGUGAGUAACCUGCACUUGACUUUGGGAUAACUUCAGGAAACUGGGGCUAAUACCGGAUAGGAGCUCCUGCUGCAUGGUGGGGGUUGGAAAGUUUCGGCGGUUGGGGAUGGACUCGCGGCUUAUCAGCUUGUUGGUGGGGUAGUGGCUUACCAAGGCUUUGACGGGUAGCCGGCCUGAGAGGGUGACCGGCCACAAGGGGACUGAGAUACGGACCAGACUCCUACGGGAGGCAGCAGUGGGGAAUAUUGCACAAUGGGCGGAAGCCUGAUGCAGCAACGCCGCGUGCGGGAUGACGGCCUUCGGGUUGUAAACCGCUUUGGCCGGUGACGUAGCGUGAGUGACGGUAAUGGAUAAAGAAGCACCGGCUAACUACGUG